UACGGGGGGGCGAAGCGUUGUUCGGUAAUUACUGGGCGUAAAGGGCUCGUAGGCGGCCAACUAAGUCAGACGUGAAAUCCCUCGGCUUAACCGGGGAACUGCGUCUGAUACUGGAUGGCUGGAGUUUGGGAGAGGGAUGCGGAAUUCCAGGUGUAGCGGUGAAAUUCGUAGAUAUUCGCAAGAACACCAGUGGCGAAGGCGGCUCACUGGCCCGGUACUGACGCUGAGGUGCGAAAGCGUGGGGAGCAAACAGGG
rnacentral:rRNA from 1 species